UACGUAGGUGGCAAGCGUUGUCCGGAUUUACUGGGCGUAAAGAGCGCGCAGGCGGUCGUUCAAGUCGCGUGUGAAAGCCCCCGGCUCAACUGGGGAGGGUCACGCGAUACUGAUCGACUCGAAGGCAGGAGAGGGUAGUGGAAUUCCCGGUGUAGUGGUGAAAUGCGUUGAUAUCAGGAGGAACACCCAUGGCGAAGGCAGUUCACUGGGCAUCAUCUGACGCUGAGGCGCGAAAGCGUGGGUAGCAAACAGG
rnacentral:rRNA from 1 species